rnacentral:rRNA from 1 species
GACGAACCAUGCAAACGUUGUUCGGAUUCACUGGGCUUAAAGGGCGCGUAGGCGGCCGAUCUAGUCUGGAGUGAAAUCUUUCGGCUCAACCGGAAAAUUGCCUCAGAUACUGGUCGGCUCGAAGAGGGUAGGGGUUGCGGGAACUGCCAGUGGAGCGGUGAAAUGCGUUGAUAUUGGCAGGAACGCCGGUGGCGAAAGCGCGCAACUGGAUCCUCCUUGACGCUGAGGCGCGAAAGCCAGGGUAGCGAACGGG